GGGACGAGCCCAGCACCGAAUCCCCCGGCAUGCAGCCGGCGGGAAAUGUGGUGUGUGGGACGCCAACUGUCGUCCGCGCUGGAGACCGAAGUCCUCCUGAUCGGGGCCUCUCCCACAGCGGGUGUCAGGCCUUUACUGGUCUCUGGCCGGGCGGCUGCGAGCGUCUCAGGAGUCGGGUUGUUUGGGAAUGCAGCCCAAAGGGGGGGGGAAACUCCAUCUAAG
rnacentral:rRNA from 1 species